AUCCGCCAACGCAUCCGAUCCCGCUACACCCUCUCCCCCGCCCACACGCACGCGCACACCGCCGUGCACAAGCCCUCGCCCUCGCCCUCGCCGUCGCCACCACACCCCACUGCCCACAGCGCCCCCGCGCCUGCAGAGCCAUGUCCGUCGACAGCAGCAGCACGCACCGGCACCGCAGCGUCGCCGCGCGCCUGGUGCGCCUCGCGGCUGCCGGCGCCGCAGUCAUCGCUGCUGUCGGCACCGCGGCCGCGUGGGCACACGCCGGUGCGGUGCAGCACCGCUGCAUCCACGACGCGAUGCAGGCACGCGUGCGGCAGUCGGUGGCGCGCCACCACACGGCCCCCGGCGCCGUGUCCGCGGUGGGCCUGUCGUACGUUACUCUCGACACCGCGGCCGCCGCAGAUCGCCGGCCGGGCAGCGCGCCCACAGUCGUGCGCGCCGCGAACUGGGGCGCGCUGCGCAUCGCCGUCUCCACCGAGGACCUCACCGACCCCGCCUACCACUGCGCUCGCGUCGGGCAGCGUAUUAGCACGCGCGAUGGCCGCUUCGCCAUCUGCACCGCCGAGGACAUCCUCACCGACGAGAAGCGCGACAUCCUGGUCAAAUACCUCAUCCCGCAGGCGCUGCAGCUGCACACGGAGCGGCUGAAGGUGCGGCAGGUGCAGGACAAGUGGAAGGUGACGGGCAUGGGCAACGAGAUCUGUGGCCACUUCAAGGUGCCGCCGGCGCACAUCACCGAUGGCCUGAGCAACACCGACUUCGUGAUGUACGUCGCCUCCGUGCCGAGCGAGGGGAUGUGCUGGCGUGGGCCACGACCUGCCAGGUGUUCUCUGACGGCCAUCCAGCCGUGGGCGUCAUCAACAUCCCCGCGGCGAACAUUGCGUCGCGGUACGACCAGCUGGUGACGCGUGUCGUCACGCACGAGAUGGCGCACGCGCUCGGCUUCAGCGUCGUCUUCUUCCGAGACGCCGGCAUCCUGGAGAGCAUUUCGAACGUUCGGCACAAGGACUUCGAUGUUCCCGUGAUCAACAGCAGCACGGCGGUGGCGAAGGCGCGCGAGCAGUACGGCUGCGGCACCUUGGAGUAUCUGGAGAUGGAGGACCAGGGCGGUGCAGGCUCCGCCGGGUCGCACAUCAAGAUGCGCAACGCGCAGGACGAGCUCAUGGCGCCUGCCUCGGAUGCGGGGUACUACAGCGCCCUGACCAUGGCCAUCUUCCAGGACCUCGGCUUCUACCAGGCGGACUUCAGCAAGGCCGAGGAGAUGCCGUGGGGCCGGAACGCCGGCUGCGCCUUCCUCAGCGAGAAGUGCAUGGAGGACGGCAUCACGAAGUGGCCGGCGAUGUUCUGCAAUGAGAACGAGGUGACUAUGCGCUGCCACACCGGUCGUCUCAGCCUUGGCGUGUGCGGUUUAUCCUCUAGCGAUAUUCCCUUGCCGCCGUACUGGCAGUACUUCACGGACCCGCUCCUCGCCGGCAUCUCCGCCUUCAUGGACUACUGCCCUGUCGUGGUGCCCUUCGGUGAUGGCAGCUGCGCGCAGCGUGCGUCUGAAGCGGGCGCACCAUUCAAAGGCUUCAACGUCUUCUCCGACGCGGCGCGCUGCAUCGAUGGCGCCUUCAGGCCGAAGACGACCGAAACCGUAACAAAUUCGUACGCCGGACUGUGCGCCAACGUGCGGUGCGACACGGCCACGCGCACGUACAGCGUGCAGGUGCACGGCGGCAGCGGCUACGCCAACUGCACGCCGGGCCUCAGAGUUGAGCUGAGCACCGUGAGCAGCGCCUUCGAGGAGGGCGGCUACAUCACGUGCCCGCCGUACGUGGAGGUGUGCCAGGGCAACGUGCAGGCUGCCAAGGACGGCGGCAACGCCGCGGCUGGUCGCCGUGGUCCGCGCGCCGCGGCGACGGCGCUGCUGGUGGCCGCGCUGCUGGCCGUGGCGCUCUAGACGGUGGAUAGGACGGGUGCUGAUGGCGUGUCCCCUGCUCCCCCCUCCCUCCCUCCCUCUCGUUGUCUCUCGGAAGAGCUCCACGCUGUCCUUUCAUCUCCUCGCCUGUUCUACGCUUGCUUCGCUGCGCCGCUGCACCGGGCCGGUCCUCGCCGACCCUCGCCUGCCCUCUCCCCCUCCUCUCUCCCGCCACCCCACCCCGCUUCCCGCUGCGCACGGUGCCUGUGCGCUUGGAGAGGUGCAGCAGCGCGCGGGAGCUGAGGGAGGGAGGGGGUGUCGUGCGCGGGUGCGCAUGCCUUCUUUCACUUCCUUAUUUGUCUUCUAUUUGUUCCCUGCGACACCCGCACACCCCCACCCGCUGGCGGCCAUCCGCGGCAUCCGCGGGUGCGUGCGCGGUGUGUCUGCCUUCUCUCUCCUCCUUUCGCUCUGUUCCCCUGUCCUCGGACUCCCCGGCGCCAGCGUGAGCUCCGCAGUCACCGCCCACCCGGCGCUCUGACGCGGUCAGCGCCACCCCACCCCACCCCCUCUCCCCCAUUCGUGCGUGUCUCUUCUCGCUUUGUUUUUCUGUUUCCUCUUGUAGCAGGGCGCGCCGCGUUGUGGGAGCGGCGGCGGCCUCUGCGCGCGGACGGCGUGCAGGUCGGCCGGGAGAGUCUCCCGCCAGCGCCCGCGCAGCGCAGAGCCGUCGCCCACCCACCGUCUCCUCCCACCUUCGCAUGCCGCCGCACUAGGUGCACGUCGUCGGCACGACCACCGAGGUACCUCCCCCACCCCGGCCCUCCGGCCCCGCGCCCCUGCCUCUGUGCCGUGCCGUGCCCUGGACUCCCUCUCCUCCACCUCUCCUCGCUUCUGUCGC
rnacentral:misc_RNA from 1 species